ensembl:lncRNA
CAGAUAACAAAUCAUUUAUUUUGCUAGACAGAUGAAACAAACUGAGCCAUGAUAGCAGCAAUUCAACUAUUAGAAUAUUUACACUAUCACAUCACACCAAGGACAUAUGUAACCCUUUACAAUGUAAACACAUGAUACAAAGACAUAUUUCAAUGCUAGAAAACAAGCAACUCUAUCCACCAAAAAAAAAAGAAAAAUGAAGAAACCUGCUUUCUGCACCAAAUACCUGCUUCUGCACUUCAGGAGUUCAUGUCCUGAACAUUGUGAAACAAGUUUCCACAGGUGAACGACAGAUGCUUUGAAAGGUGAAAAUAAAAGACAAACCAUUAGCAAUGAUUGUCUUUGACAUUAUUAUUUUUUUUCAAAGAUUGAGAUUGUAAAAUGUGAGGUAAUAUAAGGACAUCCACUGUGUAAUCAUUUCUGUAUUUUAUGAAAAGAAACAAAAUAAUACUGUAAGCGUACACCGUCUCUGAAUGAAUUACACCAAAGUUUACAUCUGUGCAGUGAAAUCAUAUUUGGUGAAAAGUAUCAGUCGAAAAUGAUAACUACAGAAAAUUUUCUUUUUAAAAAAAAACAAACAAAACAAAACAAGUGUUGGUACAAUGAUUUUCUGAAUAAAAAUAAAUUUGUCAAGUAUAAGGUUGGGAGCUCUGGACUGCUUCUGCAGAGCAGCAAACACCACAAAUGUUGCCUUUAACCAUCAGCGUCCAUUCAUUUCACAACAUAAAGAACCAAAGGUGAAGUGUUGUUGGUCAUCCCGUGAGCGUGUCUCUGUGUGCAUCUCCGCACACACGAUGGUGAGAGAAUGUUUGUGUUUGUGUUAUUGUGAGAAUGCCUCAUCUUUCAUCAGCAUGCGCGGGCUCUCCUGGUUGUCCAUGCGACGUCUGGGACCCAUCAUGCCUGGAGGAACAGACGUGCCAUUUAUUUAUUCAUGCUUCAAUCCAGACACAUUAUUGAUUUCAACUGGUGUUUAGUGUCUCAAUCACUACACUAUUACUGGUUCUA